AUUGAACGCUGGCGGCAUGCCUAACACAUGCAAGUCGAACGGAAACAGGACGCUGUGAUCUCUUCGGAGUGAACUUGUCGCUGUCGAGUGGCGGACGGGUGAGUAAUGCAUAGGAAAUUGCCUUGAAGUGGGGGAUAGCCCGGAGAAAUCCGGAUUAAUACCGCAUAUGUUCUACGGAACAAAGUGGGCCUCUGAUUUAAGCUCAUGCUUUGAGAUAUGCCUAUGUCGGAUUAGCUUGUUGGUGGGGUAAAAGCCUACCAA
rnacentral:rRNA from 1 species